rnacentral:misc_RNA from 1 species
AAAAAAAAAAAAAAACACCAAAAGACAAGUCUUUGAUGAAUUUUUUUCCCUUCCCCUCUUUAAUUUCCUCCUCCUGUAUCUGUUUUUUUGGGGAUUUAUUUUUGGGAAGAAGAAGAAGAAAUUAGGAAGAGGGGUUUUUGGUUAAUGCUAAAAGAAGAGGAAAAAAGAAAAAAUUGCUAUAUAGAGAAAGAGAAGAUAGAGAGACGUG